GAUUCCCCUAGUAACUGCGAGUGAAGCGGGAAAAGCUCAAAUUUAAAAUCUGGCAGUUUAGGCUGUCCGAGUUGUAAUCUGGAGAAGUGUUUUCCGUGUUGGACCGUGCAAAAGUCUCUUGGAAUAGAGCAUCAUAGAGGGUGAGAAUCCCGUCUUUGGCACGGACUACCAAUGCUUUGUGAUACGCUCUCAAAGAGUCGAGUUGUUUGGGAAUGCAGCUCAAAAUGGGUGGUAAAUUCCAUCUAAAGCUAAAUAUUGGCGAGAGACCGAUAGCGAACAAGUACCGUGAGGGAAAGAUGAAAAGCACUUUGGAAAGAGAGUUAAACAGUACGUGAAAUUGUUGAAAGGGAAACGCUUGAAGUCAGUCGCGUCGUCCGGGACUCAGCCUUGCUUCUGCUUGGUGUAUUUCCCGGUUGACGGGCCAACAUCGAUUUUUGCUGGUGGAAAAAGGUGGGGGGAAUGUGGCACCUUUYGGUGUGUUAUAGCCCCUCAUUGUAUGCAUCAGCGGGGAUCGAGGACCGCAGCACGCCCUUGUGGCCGGGGUUCGCCCACGUAACGUGCUUAGGAUGUUGGCAUAAUGGCUUUAAUCGACCCGUCUUGAAACACGGACCAAGGAGUCUAACAUGCCUGCGAGUGUUAGGGUGAUAAACCCUUGCGCGUAAUGAAAGUGAAAGUUGGGAUCCUUGUCAUGGGGAGCACCGACGCCCGGCCUUGAACUUCUGUGACGGCGCCGCGGUGGAGCAUGUAUGUUGGGACCCGAAAGAUGGUGAACUAUGCCUGAAUAGGGUGAAGCCAGAGGAAACUCUGGUGGAGGCUCGUAGCGAUUCUGACGUGCAAAUCGAUCGUCAAAUUUGGGUAUAA
rnacentral:rRNA from 1 species